GCGUGUGGGCCUAAUGGUUAAGGCGAUGGACUUGAAAUACAUUGGGGUCUCCCCGCGUAGGUUCGUUUUCUACCGGAUGCG